GUAGGAGCCACGCUGGAUCUACUUAUUACAACAGUCACUCAAUCGGCACAUCCAUCAUCGGAAACUACAAUGACAUCCUGCCAACCCCCGGUGUACUUCAGGUUUUAAAGGAUCUGAAUGAGUGUGGUGCCAAGUCAGGCUACAUGACCUCAAGAUACGUCCUUCGUGGCCACCGUGAUGUCAGGCAACUCGGCCCCACAGACUGCCCAGGCGAGACCCUAUAUAAAGAGAUCCGAACAUGGCCUCACUACCUCGAGUCGGACAAGACAUCCCAUCCAGAGUCGGACAAGACAUCCCAUCCGGAUGUUUAGGACGUUGUAAGAUUCAGUUUCCGAAUCUGAUGUUCCUCUUAAAAAAAAA